rnacentral:lncRNA from 1 species
GCACAGGAUGUAUGCUAGAAUGAAGGAGCUGAAGUGCCAGCCCAAUACGUUGACUUAUAAUAUAUUGAUGAGGAUGUUUGCUGAGUCGAAAUCUACUGAUAUGGUUCUGAAAAUGAAGAAGGAAAUGGAUGAGAAUCAGGUUGAACCUAAUGUAAACACUUACCGGAUUUUGAUUUCGAUGUUUUGUGAAAUGAAGCACUGGAACAAUGCUUACAAGUUGGUGAAGGAAAUGGUUGAAGAAAAAUGCCUAAGACCGAAUCUGUCCGUUUAUGAAACUGUUCUGGAGCUGCUCAGAAACGCUGGACAGUUGAAAAAGCAUGAAGAAUUGGUGGAUAAGAUGGUUGCG